AUGGACCAAGUGAUAACUCUGCUGCAAAUCAUUUAAAAGUCCUAGCAUCCAAAGUUCUGUUUGCUCUCUCUUCAAACUUUUUCAAUGCUGUUUUUAACAAAAUAUCUGGGCGUUUGCAAGAAUUAAGUGCCUGCAAUGAAGAAAACCCAGAUUAUAGCGACAUUGAAUUAAUUCAACAUAUCAGUGUAGAUACUGGGAAACUAAUAAGACUCUUCAAUGAAACCAUUCAAAAAUUUCGUUCUCUAAAAAAAUCCGCUCACGUGAUUUUAAUGACAUCCCUAGAAAAAGCAAUCUGGAAUUGGAUGGAUACUUUUCCAAACGAAUUUGCUGAUUUACAGAAAAUUCCCAACGAAGAGCUGUCAAAAUGUUGUGAAAAUUUAUUCGAUCUAUUAGAUUCGUAUACUGAUAACAAGAAAGGUAAAGUCUCCAGCUGGCCUUUGCAGAUGAUGCUGCUUCUUUUAUCACCAAAAGUUUUGGAAGAAAUCGUAAAUGCUGACAGUGGCGCUCCAUGUUCCCCACGGCACAGCAAAAAGAAACAUUUUAUUGAUUCUUUGAAGAAAGCAAUAAGUCCACAGACAUCAAGCAAACAAUUGACAGAAGCAGCAGCUGUGGCUGGUGUGAAGCUUUGCAAAGCUUCAACUUACAUUAAUAUUUUAGAGUCAAAUCACAUUAUUUUUACUCUCGUUCAAAGUAUUUUAAAUGAUCUCAAAUGUUUAUUGUUCAACCCAAACAAACCGUUCACGAGAGGACAGAGUUUUGUGCAGCAAGAUGUGGAUCUCAUGAUUGACUGUUUUGUCUCGUGCUUCCGAAUAAAACCUCAUAAUAAUGAUCCGUUAAAAGUGUGUCUAAAUCCAGUGUCCCCAUCGAUGUUUCAUUUUGUUCUAGUCAGUUCUUUGUACAGGGUAGUCACUCAACAUAGAUUACCAUGGUGGCCAGUAAUCGAUUUAGUUUACAAUAAAAGUUCCGAGCUACGGGCUAUGUUCACAGACACCCUGAAUAGAGUUACCCAAGGUUAUAUAGCUCUUACACCUUUAAAAAUGAUAACGUCUCUAACCCUAAAAAGCAAAGAUUCAACUUCAAAACUACGAGACCGAGGGGAAGAAGCUCCUUAUCACAAGAAUUUAUUGUUAUGGAUGGUGCGACUAAUUCAUGCUGAUCCUAUGCUCAUGUUGAAUAAUCAAGGUAAACUUGGCCAUGAAAUUCAAAGUUCAACAUUAGAGUUAAUCAACGGUUUAGUGAGCCUAGUUCACCAGCCAUCAAUGCCAGAUGUGGCGCAAGAAGCAAUGGAGGCCCUUCUCAUUCUGCAUCAGCCAGACAAGAUUGAAGUCUGGAACCCAGAAGCACCGAUCAAUACUUUUUGGGACGUCAGCUCCCAGGUUUUAUUCUCAAUUUCUCAGAAGUUAAUCCAGCAUCAAAUUAUUAACUAUACAGAUAUUCUGAAGUGGUUACGUGAAAUUUUAGUUUGUCGAAAUGAAUUUCUAGCCAAACAUAAAGAUUAUGCAAACAUGGGGAGCCAAAUCGCCAUUUGCAAACAAGCACAUAUCAAACUUGAGGUUGUCUUCUUCAUGUAUUUGUGGAGUAUAGACAUUGAAGCUGUACUGGUAGCCAUGUCCUGCUUCAGUCUCCUCUGUGAAGAGGCUGAAAUACGUGGUGGUUCAGAUGAUGUAACUGUUCUUCUUCUUUUGCCAAACGUUCACGUUUAUCAAGAAUUAGCCUUAGCCUCUACUGUUGUCACCACAGCCAGCGAGGAUUCUUGUGUUUGCUUUAGAAACCAAAAUCAUGGUCGAGCUGCACUACAAAAGCGUAUCAUGGCAUUACUUAGAAAAAUCGAGCAUUGUGUAAAUGGUGUCCAGCCGGCAUGGGAAGAGACUUUCCGAAACUGGGAGGCAUCCAGCAAAAUUUUCCAAUCAUAUCCUAAAAGUAAGUGUGAAGAUGCGCAGGUGGAGUCAUUUCAUCGCUCGGUGAGCAAACGUAGAGCGUCUCAUCAGAACUCAGAGCAUGAAUUGGAGGAGCAAAUCAAUGAAUGGGCAAACAUGACUGGUUUUUUAUGUGCAUUGGGUGGAGUAUGUCUGCAAAAGAAGUCACCGACGAAACCGCCAACCAGUGCUGUUGACUCACGCAAAGUCAGUGUUUUACCUCCCCCUGCUCAGGAAGUUCAGUACUGUCCUGUCACGCAAUUUGUUGGCCAGCUUUUAAGACUGUUAGUCUGCAAUAAUGAAAAAUUUGGUGCUCAAAUUCAGAAACAUGUAAAAGAACUUGUUGGACAUGAAAUGUCACCUGCGUUAUACCCAAUUUUAUUCGACCAAAUCAAAUCUAUAGUUGAAAAAUUUUUUGACCAAAGUGGCCAGGUUAUUUUAGAUCAAGUGAACACGCAGUUCAUUGAACACAUAAUAUUCAUCAUGAAAAAUGUCUUGGAAUGUAAAACGGAUCAGCCUGCAGAACAUCUAGGAGUUACAAGUAUUGAAGGCAUGAUGUUAGCAAUAGUGAGGUAUGUGAGACAUCUAGAUAUGAAUGGCAAUUCUGUGAUCAUCAAAACAAAGCUUUGUCAGUUAGUUGGAGCAAUGAUGAAGCAAAGGGAUGACCUAGCUUUCCGGCAAGAAAUGAAAUUCCGAAAUAAACUUGUAGAAUAUUUGACAGAUUGGGUGAUGGGCACAUUACCUAGUAUGAAUUCUGCUGGAGCUGUCGUUGAGCCUCCCAACCCCGUGAAUAUCGCUGCAUUCCGUGACUUGGAUCAAGCUUGUAUGGAAGCUGUUGCAGCUCUGUUGAAAGGAUUACCUCUGCAACCUGAAGAGUCUGAUAGAGGUGACCUGAUGGAGGCAAAAAGUCAAAUGUUUUUGAAGUACUUCACCCUUUUCAUGAACUUAUUAGGAGACUGUGCAGAUACGCAAGAUCUGGAGAAAGAUAUGUCUAGACCCCGCAUUGGUGCUAACAAAAUCUCAGUACUUAGAAAUGCAACGAUUCAAGCAAUGUCUAACCUUCUAUCUGCAAACAUAGACAGUGGCCUCAUGCAUUCAAUAGCUCUUGGAUACAAUCAAGAUCUUCAAACUAGAGCUGCAUUCAUGGAAGUCCUGGCUCAAAUUUUACAGCAAGGGACAGAAUUUGAUACCCUAGCAGAAACCGUGCUAGCAGACAGAUUUGAACAAUUAGUCCAGUUGGUGACCAUGAUCAGCGACAAAGGAGAAUUACCAAUUGCCAUGGCUCUAGCGAAUGUUGUCACUACUUCUCAAAUGGAUGAACUUGCUCGGGUAUUUGUCACUCUCUUUGAUGCAAAACAUCUUUUAUCACCACUCCUGUGGAACAUGUUCUACCGAGAAGUUGAAGUAUCAGAUUGUAUGCAAACUCUCUUCAGAGGAAAUUCGCUGGGCUCAAAAAUCAUGGCUUUUUGUUUUAAAAUUUAUGGAGCAACUUAUCUGCAAAACCUUCUUGAGCCCCUGAUCAGACCCUUGUUGGAUACCUCGAAUCCUCAUUUAGAAGUUGAUCCAGCAAGGUUAGAAACUGGUGAAAAUAUAGAGGUCAAUCGGGCAAAUUUAAUUGCUCUCACUCAGAAAACAUUUGAUGCUAUUGUCCUGUCUGCUGACAAAUUUCCUCCUCAAUUACGCAGUAUGUGCCAUUGUUUGUAUCAAGUCCUGAGCAAAAGAUUCCCGCAGGCUCCCCAGAACAAUAUUGGAGCUGUGGGUACUGUAUUAUUCUUGCGGUUCAUAAAUCCUGCCAUCGUAUCUCCACAAGAAAUGGGAAUCAUUAACAGGACUGUUCUGCAACCUGUCAAACGUGGAUUGAUGUUAAUGUCCAAAAUUCUUCAAAACAUUGCAAAUCAUGUAGAGUUCAGCAAAGAGCAGCAUAUGAUUCAUUUCAAUGAUUUUCUAAGGCAGCAUUUUGAAGUAGGUAGAAGAUUUUUCAUUCAAAUAGCCUCUGACUGUGAAACAGAAGAUCAGCAAAGCUCUCAUUCCAUGUCUUUUAUCAGUGACUCUAACAUCGUAGCGCUUCACAGACUGUUAUGGAAUCAUCAAGAGAGAAUAGGAGAUUAUCUCUCCAGUAGCAGGGACCACAAAGCUGUCGGUCGUCGACCGUUUGAUAAGAUGGCAACAUUACUGGCUUACCUGGGGCCGCCUGAACAUAAACCUAUAGAGUCUCAGUUAAUAUUUCCUUCAAGAUGGAGCUCGAUUGAUAUGUCUGGAUCAAAUUUUGAGGAAAUGAUGGUCAAAAGGAAUAUGCAUGAGAAAGAAGAGUACAAACAGGUUAAAUCGCUCAAUAUAUUUUAUCAGGCCGGGACCUCCAAAGCUGGAAACCCUGUCUUUUACUACGUUGCUCGAAGAUACAAAAUUGGUGAAACAAAUGGAGAAUUCUUGGUUUUUCAUGUGUACCUAACUUUGAAGCCCUACUGGGAAUCGCCUUUUGAACUAGUGUUUGACUUUACACAUACCUCAUCUGACAAUAGAUUUAGGACUGAAUUUUUAGGUAAGUGGUUCCACAUGCUACCAGUCGAUGGCUACAAAAAUAUUCAUGCCGCUUACAUCUACAACUGUAAUACUUGGGUUAGAGAGUACACUAAAUUUCAUGAUAGAAUUUUGUCUCCUUUGAAGGGUAACAGGAAGAUGAUUUUCAUCGAGACUCUGGGUAGAUUGAAUGAGUUUAUUGAUCCAGAGCAACAAAAACUACCUGGAACAACACUUUCGUUAGAUGAAGAUUUAAAAGUCUACAACAAUGCUUUGAAGCUUUCACACAAAGACACCAAAGUCAUUAUCAAGAUCGGCCCCACUGCUGUUCAAGUAACAUCUUUGGAGAAAACGAAAGUGCUUGCUCACUCAGUUUUGUUGAAUGACGUUUACUAUGCCAGUGAAAUUGAAGAAGUUUGCCUUGUUGAUGACAACCAGUUUACACUCUCAAUCAUGAAUGAGUCAGUACCCCUAUCUUUCAUCCACACAGAUUGUGAUGCAAUCGUUCAAGCCAUCGUCCACAUCCGGAACCGUUGGGAGCUUUCUCAACCUUGUUAUUUACAGGAUUACCGAUAUCAUUGGGAACUUCAGCAUCCUGACUCAGUGACGGUGCAUCAAAAGAUACGACCAAAAGAUGUUCCAGGAACGUUGCUUAAUAUGGCUUUACUUAAUUUAGGUUCUUUAGAUCCUCACUUACGUACUGCUGCUUACAACCAAUUGUGUGCAUUAGCUGCUGCUUUUGAAUUAAAAAUUGAGGGACAGCUUCUGGAGACCUCAGGUUUAUGUAUUCCAUCCAAUAACACGAUCUUCAUAAAGAAAGUGAGUGAAACAUUGGCCACCAAUGAGCCACAUCUGACUCUUGAAUUCCUGGAAGAAUGUAUUCAAGGCUUUCGCAUAUCAAACAUAGAGCUCAAGCAUUUGUGCCUUGAGUACAUGACUCCCUGGCUUCCAAAUUUAGUAAGAUUUUGCAAGCCAACCGAUGAAGGAAAGAGGCAGCAAAAAGUUCUUCAAAUUCUAGAAAAAUUAAUUCUCCUUACUGUUCAAGAAAAAGAAAUGUAUCCAUCAAUUCAGGCCAAAAUUUGGGGAUCAAUUGGGCAGGUCCCAGAAUUGAUCGACAUGGUUCUUGACAGUUUUAUCAAGAGAAGUGGUGAAAGUGGUGUCGGUUCUCCGGUUGUUGAAAUUUUAGCAGAUACAGCAGUUGCUUUGGCCUCGGCAAAUGUUCAGCUCGUGGCAAAAAAAAUAAUCGGACGCCUCUGUCGAGUCCUUGACAAAACUUGCUCCAACCCACAACCCACCCUUGAAGUACAUAAUUUAUGGGACGAUAUUGCAAUUCUGAAUCGUUAUUUGUUAAUGUUAUCAUUCAAUAAUUCAUUAGAUGUUGCUCUGCAUUUGCCAUUCUUAUUUCACGCUGUUACUCUUCUUGUAUGCUCUGGCUCAUUAAGUAUGCGUGCUGCUACUCAUGGUUUGGUUAUCAACAUUAUUCACUCUCUUUGUACCUGCACACAACCUCUCUUCACGGAAAAAGCACAGAGCGUCUUACGACUCAGUUUAGUGGAAUUUUCUCUGCCGAAAUUUUAUUUGCUUUUUGGAAUUAGCAAAGUCAAAUCAGCUGCGGUCACAGCAUUCCGCUCCAGCUAUAGGCACACUAAUGACCGCAUGUUAGGAUCUGAACGACACUUUAGCAGUGUUGGCAUGGAUCGUGAGCGCCUAUCACUGACAUCACUCGAGGUCAUCACAGAUGCUUUACUGGAAAUUAUGGAAGCAUGCAUGAAAGAUAUUCCAGAGUGUAAUUGGCUUCAAUGUUGGACUUCUCUUGCCAAAAGUUUUGCAUUUUGUUACAAUCCUGCCUUGCAGCCACGAGCAUUAAUUGUUUUCGGCUGUAUAAGCAAAAGUAUAACUGAUCAAGAAGUAAAACAGCUACUAAGAAUAUUGGUGAAAGCAUUAGAGUCUUUCACAGACAUAACAUUAAUUGAAGCUAUUGUCAUGUGCUUAACAAGGCUACAGCCUCUGUUGAGACCAGAAUCGGUCAUUCAUUAUGCCUUGUUUUGGGUCAGUAUUUUUGUUCUCCAGUUAGAUGACACUAACUUAUAUGCUGCUGGCUUGGCGUUACUGGAGCAGAACAUUCAUACUUUAGACUCUCAGGGUAAUUUUGACGAUAAGACCAUCGAGUCUGUGAUGAUGCCCAUAAGAGAGCGUUUAGAAUGGCACUUUAAGCAACUUGACCAUGCUGUUGGGCUCAGUUUUCGGGCCAAUUUUCAUUUUGCCUUAGUUGGACAUCUGUUGAAAGGUUAUCGUCAUCCUACCCCAAACAGUGUAUCUAGGACAACACGGAUACUCACCUCACUCUUAGGAAUAGUUGCCAAACCACAAAAAAAAGAUAAAUUCGAAGUUACUCAAGAAAAUGUUGCAUAUUUGGCAGCUCUUGUAUCUGUUUCGGAGGAAGUCCGCAGUCGCUGCCAUGUGAAAAUAAUUCCAGAAACUAAACUCGAACUGAAAGAAGCAGGACCAAAGUUGGCUGUACCUCCUCUUGGAGUGAAAAAGCUUGAUUUUGGGACAGGUAGAAGACAAAAGUCAUGGGAUCUUCUUGAUGAAGCUGCUAUGUCUCAUGCACGCCAUCAGAAACAAAUGCAGGAGCAGAAUGAUAGGACUUCGCUCUCCAAUGAAAACAAUCUUUUAUUAGACCCACAAGUUUUGGUUGAUUUCUCAACUCAAGCCUUAGUUCUAACAGUGUUGGCCACAUUGGUCAAGUAUGCUUCAGAUGAAAAUGAAACAAGGAUUCUGUAUCAAUAUUUAGCUCAUGCAUCAGUUGCAUUCCCCAAAGUUUUUCCUGUGAUUCAUUCUUUGUUGGAUGCCAAACUGACAAGUGUUCUUCAAAUGUGCCAUGACAAAAUUAUUUUGAGUGCUGUGCAAAACAUCAUUCAAAAUAUGAUAGCUGCAGAAGACACCAGUCAACAACAGCUUCACUAUCUCCAGUCUUGUGGGUUUGGGGGGUUAUGGAGAUUUGCAGGCCCUUUCACUAAGGCAAAUUGCACUGCUGAUAGUGCGGAACUGUUUGUCAAUUGUCUAGAAGCAUUAGUGGAAACUUGCUUGCCCGGUGAUGAGCCAAUCAUGACUACCAGCACUACUGCGGAGAGCAGUGUCUCAUCCUCAUUCUCUUCACUCCCACUAGGAUCACCUAUAGAUAAAGGGUUUAGCUCUACCGAAACUUUCCGCUGUGAGUGAAAGUUACUAUUUUUUUCCAUCAACAUUAAGGGCUCCUUCAAAAACUGCACUCCUGGAGGACAUUUGUUUUUCUUCUUCAGAAUUGAUUCUCUGGUUCACAAUUCAGCAAGAAAAACUACCCUGCAAAUCAAGGAUCACCAAUCUUGUAACUCAGCUUUACAUGACACUAGCACAGAUCGGAGGUUGAAGUUAAAUGUUUAGCAUUGUCUCUUAUGAUGGUAUUCUGAUCCAGAUUGCUGUUCACUUUUUAUCUAAUCGCAGCCAAAUGAAUUGAGAGAAUGCUCUGUGUUUGCAUCACAGAUUGUUCAAGAUAAAUAAGAAUGUCGAAGAUGUCUUCAUCAUUAAAACUCCAUUCUCUCCUUUUUAAUUUCAAGAAUUCAUGUAAAAUUUUUAAUCAUCUUACCCUUUAAGUGUUGCUUAGUUCUUCAUUUGGUGCUACUAAAGAAAUUAUAUUAUUUGUUGCUUCUGUUGUGGUGAGUAUUUUCCUGAUGUAUCUAUCAAUCAAGACUGUCUUUUUUACAAUUAGUCAUAAAAAUUCAAAUUUGUUAUUUAUUCAACAUAUUACUUGAGUUUGCUUAUUGAUUUCAUGUUAUAUGUUAUACCAUCUUCUCUCUUACUUUACUUAUAUUCAUCAGACUUUUACCUUAAGCUCACUUUCCCAAAACCAUGGUCAUAUGAAUCUGCAGUUGCUUAUUUUUUUCUUCAUGAUUUUUCCUUUUAUUUGUCGUUCGUUGUCACUUUUCAGGAGCAUGCAUUGUUUUUAAAAAUGUUUAAAUGGCUGCAAAUGGAACCAGAGGUGCAAAAUUUCAUGAAACUUUAUAAAAUGAUAUUUUAAUGAAGGAAGGAAACCUAUCGAUAAGGGCCGUUUUUGGGCCCAUCCUGAAAUUCCUCAACUCCGCGCUUCUUUGUUCAUUGAAGGUCUAAAUUUGACGGGAUGCAUAAUGAUUUGGUCCAUUUCCGCCUACUUCUGGGUCCAUUACUUGCCUAACCAUGGGGCUGAAGGCCGAUGUUGACGAAAAAUGCGGGUUUUUCGGAAUUCGACGCGCUGUUUUAUUAUGAUCCCAGCAGAGGAGCAAAAAGCGCUUCAAGUGUGUUCAUUAGGGGUGUAAGAGAGUCACUUUGGCCAAUUUUCGUCGAUGUCAAUCAAACCUUGCGCUCAUAGUUAAAUCAUUUUUUUUUUAGAAUUUUCUUGUUUUUAAUUAUUAUUUAAAAUGGCUUAAAGAGGGUGAAUCAUCUUACACGAUAAUUAAACCCCAUCAACAGAAAAUUUACGUAUGUGGUCAAAACCUUCCUCCAAGAACCUUUCGUGGAUUCAAAGCCCCCCAAAAAAGCUGGUGUUGCCUUAUUUUAUUGCCUGAAUUCACGGAAAACCUAGUGUUUCAGAAUUUUGAGGCUGUUCCUUGUCGAGCUCAUUCUGCAAGUUCAAAGACCUUAAUUUUCUAUACGUAGUGACAACAUUACUAGGAGUUUUAUGCAUGUAUUUAUCUCCCGCUGUGGCGCAGUGUUGCCAACAAUUAUGUGUGAAAAUCGAGAAAAAUUCGGGUUUAGCUGAUUUUACGCUAUUUAUUUCGGAUCAUGCGCAUGGAACAGAUAUGUAAGAGUGAUGCAAGUGGAUCGUAUGUGCCAGUAUCAAUUGUUCGAAGAUCAUGCAUCUACAGACCACCUAUUCUCUAACAAAUUCUUGGAAUGACAUGUGUGCUUUAGGAUGCGACUUUCAACUUUGAUGGCUAGCUGACAUCUAGAAAUAUUUGAGUCAUGAGUCAGAAUCACCAGUUCUCCAUGUUGAUUUUGCCCCUUUCUGAACCCCCCCCCCCCAAAUUUUAUCGGCAGUGACCGUUCUUCAGAAUUUUGCUUCUCAGAAUUAAUUGAAAAUACUUACUUUUUAAAGUUAUUUCAAGUUCACAUGUUUUAAAGUUCAGCAUAGUUGCACAAUGAGUGACACACACAUGCGCAGUGCACAUGAGUGACUGCAUUUGCAGUCAACUUAUAGACAUGUUUUUCCUGAAGUGGAUGAUAUUUAUUAAAAAGAUUGGAAGAUAUUAAUUAAAAAUAAAGGCUUUUAAACUUGCUGAAUGAGCCCGACCAGAAAAAGUCACCGAAAUCUAUUUCUAAUUCGGAGGCUGUUCCUCGUCGCGCUCAUUUUGCAAAAAAUUGAAUGGUUUUCUGCAAAUUCAGGCAAUGAAAUAGGCAACACCGGCUUUUUUGGGGGACUUUGAAUCUACGAAAGGUUCUUAGAGGAAGGUUUUGACCACAUAUGUGUAUUUUCUGGUGAAGGAAUUCAAUUCUCGUGUAAGAUGAUUCACCCAUUUUAAGCCAUUUUACAUAAUAAUUAAAAACAAGAAAAUUCUAAAAAAAAAAUGAUUUAACUAUGAGCGCAAGGUUUGAUUGACAUCGACGAAAAUUGGCCAAAGUGACUCUCUUACACCCCUAAUGAACACACUUGAAGCGCUUUUUGCUCCUCUGCUGGGAUCAUAAUAAAACAGCGCGUCGAAUUCCGAAAAACCCGCAUUUUUCGUCAACAUCGGCCUUCAGCCCCAUGUUUGGGUAAGUAAUGGACCCAGAAGUAGGCGGAAAUGGACCAAAUCAGUAUGCAUCCCGUAAAAUUUAGACCUUCAAUGAUCAAAGAAGCGUGGAGUCGAGGAAUUUCAGGAUGAGCCCAGAAACAGCCCUUAUCGAUACCCCUCUUUAUAUGAAUGAUUUUUGGAACUUAUGCAGUGGACUCAGUAUGCUGUGAAACGCCCGAAAACAGUAAAAUCCUCAUUUUGAAAAAAAAAAAAAAAAUCAUGAAUCAAAUUCAGGAGUUUUUUUUUUUUUUUAUCGAAUUCUCAGCUAGUUGUUGUGCGUUGCAUAUGCAGCCCUUGAACAAUCAUUGAAAUUUUGUGGAGAAUAAAAUUUUACUUUGCAGCUGAAUGAAAUUUCACUCCAAGAAGUUUCAUUUUGCAUCUCUGAAUGGAACAAAAAGCCGCAGAUGUCAAUAUUGUUAGCAAGUUGUGUCAGAUCUUACCAACUGAAGUUGAAUUUUAUUAGGGUUUGUUGGGAUAAUUCCGGAAGAUUUCGACGCUCGAAACCUAAUUUGUCCUCUGACCUGUGGUUCGGACCAGUCAAACCGAUUGAAUUCAACAUUUUUUAGAUCAGCUAACUUUUCAUAUCAUGGAGAGCUAGUUAAGCUAGUUUUUGUUGAAAAAAAUGUUGUCAAAAGUUUUUGGUAAAUUAUUUCGUUGCGUCCGGAAUUACCUGGUUGCGUAUGGAAUUACCCUACCCGCAAUGGGGUAAUUCCGGAUGGGCAUCAUGGAGGUCGUAAUAUUGAGAUUAGAGAAUUUUCGCGCUAGUACAUUGUUGCCAACGUUCAGUUGGUCACCCUGAGUGAUUUGGUUCUCAUUUUUUGUUUGUUUACAAGCGAUAACGGGAAUUACCGUGAAAAAUCAAAUUAUAAAACGCAUAAUUUCCCUCCAAAGUGUUAUAGGUAAAAUAAAUUAUCUCAAUAUUCAACAACCAUUAUUUCUCUAAGUUGUAAUGUUUAUGAAUAACCAAUUUUGUCUGUUUUUCGAAUGAUCAAUGAACCUCUGUCCAGAUUGAGGUUAAACCGGAAUUACCCCAUCGGAAAAACACCGGUGGUGUAAUUCCGUUUAUUCAAGGUGUUUUUCCGAUGGAAUGAUUCCGGUUUAAUCUCAAUCUAGACAGAGGUUCAUUGAUCAUUCGAAAAACAGACAAAAUUGGUUUUUCAUAAACAGAAUUACUUAUAAAAAUAAUGGUUGUUGAAUAUGAAGAUAAUUUCUCUUACCUAUAACACUUAGGAGGGAAGCUAUGCAUUUUAUAAUUUGAUUCUCCUUACACACCUUCACGGUAACUUCCGUUAUCACUCGUAAAUAAACAGAAAAUGAGAAGCAAAUCAUUCAGGGUGACCAACUGAAUGUUGGCAGCAACAUACUAGCGCGAAAAUUCCCUGACCAUUAUAUUACGACCUUCAUGAUGCACAUCCAGAAUUACCCCAACCAACCCUAUGAAAUUAAGACUGAAGUGAAGAGAGAAUUUUUUAUUUAUUAGUUUACAUUUCAACAUCCCUCUACACGUAUAAUCUUGAUUUUCAGAUCAGAUGUUGUAUGUUUUAAAUUUCUUUUAUUCUUCAAUUUUUUAAAAUAUUCUGUAUCAUCAUAAGUGUAUGUUGGUUGAUGGAAAAGUUUUUUAUGUUUCUAGUAAUUUGUAUUCAUGAGUCCUGUACGUGACACCUUUUUUGUUUGUUCUGAGAAUUGAAGACAUUGUUACAAUGCUAGACGCGUCUUUAACACCAAACUAGACUGAUUAAAAUUCAUAGAAGGCUGAUGAUCAGCAUCAGUAUACAUUUGUAAACUAGCUUGUUAAUUUUUUGUACCUUUCAUGUUUUAAGUAUCUGUAGUCUGCAUCAAUCAUAAGUUGUAUGGCAAAGAAUUGGACUGACUUAAUGAACAAGUCCUUAAAUGUAUUAGACAGUUAAAGCUCUUGAAGCUCUUGUGUUACAGUAUCAAACCCUUCUUUUUAGGGGAGAUCAUUCCUCUCAAUUUUCUAACGAUCCCAAGCCAAUCGAAUAAAAUGUUAAGGUGCUAACAUUUCAACUAGUUGGCACUUAUUAACACUCUUGUCUUGCCAGGAGAA